AAACGUAGGAGACAAACGUUAUCCGGAGUUACUGGGCGUAAAGGGCGUGUAGGCGGUUUGUUAAGUCUGGCGUGAAAGCUCUCGGCUAAACCGGGAGAGGUCGUUGGAUACUGGCAAACUAGAGGACGGUAGAGGCGUGUGGAAUUCCGGGUGUAGUGGUGAAAUGCGUAGAGAUCCGGAGGAACACCAGUGGCGAAGGCGACACGCUGGGCCGUACCUGACGCUAAAAGCGCGACAGUAUGGGGGAGCAAACGGG
rnacentral:rRNA from 1 species